UACGGAGGGUGCAAGCGUUAUCCGGAUUCACUGGGUUUAAAGGGUGCGUAGGCGGCUAUGUAAGUCAGUUGUGAAAUACCUCGGCUUAACCGAAGGAAGUGCGAUUGAUACUGCGUAGCUUGAAUCAGGUUGAGGUAGGCGGAAUGUGACAUGUAGCGGUGAAAUGCUUAGAUAUGUCAUAGAACACCGAUUGCGAAGGCAGCUUACUGGGCUUUGAUUGACGCUGAGGCACGAAAGCGUGGGGAGCAGACAGG
rnacentral:rRNA from 1 species